rnacentral:rRNA from 1 species
AGCGAACGCUGGCGGCAGGCCUAACACAUGCAAGUCGAACGGACCCUUCGGGGUUAGUGGCGGACGGGUGAGUAACACGUGGGAACGUGCCUUUAGGUUCGGAAUAGCUCCUGGAAACGGGUGGUAAUGCCGAAUGUGCCCUUCGGGGGAAAGAUUUAUCGCCUUUAGGGCGGCCCGCGUCUGAUUAGCUAGUUGGGGAGGUAACGGCGCACCAAGGCGACGAUCAUUAGCUGGUCUGAGAGGAUGACCAGCCACACUGGGACUGAGACACGGCCCAGACUCCUACGGGAGGCAGCAGUGGGGAAUCUUGCGCAAUGGGCGAAAGCCUGACGCAGCCAUGCCGCGUGAAUGAUGAAGGUCUUAGGAUUGUAAAAUUCUUUCACCGGGGACGAUAAUGACGGUACCCGGAGAAGAAGCCCCGGCUAACUUCGUG